GUGGUUGUGGCUCAGCGGUAGAGCACUCGCCUAGCAUUGUGCAAGGCCCUGGGUUCGAUCCUCAGCACCACA
rnacentral:tRNA from 1 species